rnacentral:tRNA from 1 species
CUAAAAAUAGUAUAUAAAUAAUACAUAGAUUUUGGAGAUCUAAAAUGAAUAAAAUCUUUUUAGA